GACGAACGCUGGCGGCGUGCUUAACACAUGCCAGUCGAACGGAAAGGCCUCUUUCGGGGGGUACUCGAGUGGCGAACGGGUGAGUAACACGUGAGUAACCUGCCCUUGACUUUGGGAUAACUUCAGGAAACUGGGGCUAAUACCGGAUAGGAGCUCCUGCUGCAUGGUGGGGGUUGGAAAGUUUCGUCGGUUGGGGAUGGACGCGCGGCUUAUCAGCUUGUUGGUGGGGUCGUGGCUUACCAAGGCUUUGACGGGUAGCCGGCCUGAGAGGGGGACCGGCCACAUUGAGACUGAGAGACGGCCCAGACUCCUACGGGCGGCAGGAGUGGGGAGUAUUGCACAAUGGGUGGAAGCCUGAUGCAGCAACGCCGGGUGCGGGAUGACGGCCUUCGGGUGGUAAACAGCUUUCGCUCAUGACGAAGCUUUGUGUGACGGUAGUGGGUAAAGAAGCACCGGCUAACUACG
rnacentral:rRNA from 1 species